rnacentral:rRNA from 1 species
CAGCAGCCGCGGUAAUACAGAGGGUGCGAGCGUUAAUCGGAUUUACUGGGCGUAAAGCGUGCGUAGGCGGCUUUUUAAGUCGGAUGUGAAAUCCCUGAGCUUAACUUAGGAAUUGCAUUCGAUACUGGGAAGCUAGAGUAUGGGAGAGGAUGGUAGAAUUCCAGGUGUAGCGGUGAAAUGCGUAGAGAUCUGGAGGAAUACCGAUGGCGAAGGCAGCCAUCUGGCCUAAUACUGACGCUGAGGUACGAAAGCAUGGGGAGAAAACAGGAUUAGAUACCCCAGUAGUCCCUGUCUCUUAUAC